rnacentral:lncRNA from 1 species
GGGUAGGGAAGGGGAUGGUUUGUUUGUUUUCUUGAACCUGCUGUAAGUCGAUUUACUGAUAGGUUGAUUGGGUACUCUCUUGUUUUAAUCAAUUUGUUGGAAUAUAAUGUUGACUGGUUAAUAAUCUGUUGUACUUUCUGCAUUUGGGCUCUUUUUGGGCUCCUCGGCUGUAGUACCAUUUGUUUUCUCUUUAGUCAGUUGGAUAUGUUUAUAAGCAUUGAAGUUGGAGAUUUGGUAAUAGUUCCCUUAAUUGGAUCUCGGAUAUGAUUUCCCCCUCUUUUUCCAACUUCUGUGGUUUGUCCCCCAAGGUGUUGGUCUACUCGUAAGAGCGCAACACGUGUGGAUUAGGAGCACAUCACUGGUUCGAACCCUGCUACAGACAAAAGCAUGGUAUUUAAGUGGAGAAGCCAUGCAUCACCAGUCCUCGGGGAUUUUUAGGUUGUAAAAAGAAAAAUUAUGUGUGUGUGUAGUAGUGGAUUUGUGUUAUUCGAUGGACCUUGUCAACUCUUAACUUGCAUCUAAUAAUGACAUCUUUGUCAGGAAAAUCCUAGGUUUCUAUGCUCUUUUGAUGAGUAUGCAUGCUGGUGCAAUAGAAACUACCGGCUGUCUAGAAUGUGAUUUCUUAUUCUGUAGAUUAUUAGUUUAGCGAGCUUCUUUAGGAGAUGUGUGAAUGUUAUGAGUCACCCAU